GAUCCUGGCUCAGGAUGAACGCUGGCGGCGUGCUUAACACAUGCAAGUCGAACGAAGCACUUAAGAUUGAUUCUUCGGAUGACGUCUUUUGUGACUUAGUGGCGGACGGGUGAGUAACGCGUGGGUAACCUGCCUCACACAGGGGGAUAACAGUUAGAAAUGACUGCUAAUACCGCAUAAGACCACGGAGCCGCAUGGCUCAGUGGGAAAAACUCCGGUGGUAUGAGAUGGACCCGCGU
rnacentral:rRNA from 1 species